rnacentral:rRNA from 1 species
CUGACUGCUAUCGGAUUGAUACUAAGCCAUGCGAGUCUUUGUAGUAAUACAAGGCAGACGGCUCAGUAACACGUAGUCAAUCUACCCUAUGGACGAGGAUAACCUCGGGAAACUGAGAAUAAUACUCGAUAGAUCAUUAUGCCUGGAAUGGUUUAUGGUCCAAAUGAUUUAUCGCCGUAGGAUGGGACUGCGGUCUAUCAGCUUGUUGGUGAGGUAAUGGCCCACCAAGGCUAUUACAGGUACGGGCUCUGAGAGGAGAAGCCCGGAGAUGGGUACUGAGACACGGACCCAGGCCCUAUGGGGCGCAGCAGGCGAGAAAACUUUGCAAUGUGCGAAAGCACGACAAGGUUAAUCCGAGUGGUUUCUGCUAAAGAAAUCUUUUGUCAGUCCUAAAAACACUGAUGAAUAAGGGGUGGGCAAGUUCUGGUGUCAGCCGCCGCGGUAAAACCAGCACCUCAAGUGGUCAGGAUGAUUAUUGGGCCUAAAGCAUCCGUAGCCGGCUCUGUUAGUUUUCGGUUAAAUCUAUACGCUCAACAUAUAGGCUGCCGGGAAUACUGCACAGCUAGGGAGUGGGAGAGGUAGACGGUACUCGGUAGGAAGGGGUAAAAUCCUUUGAUCUUUUGAUGACCACCUGUGGCGAAGGCGGUCUACCAGAACACCGUCCGACG